rnacentral:rRNA from 1 species
GUUUGAUCCUGGCUCAGGAUGAACGCUGGCGGUAUGCUUAACACAUGCAAGUCGAACGGGGUACUUUCGGGUACCUAGUGGCGGACGGGUGAGUAACGCGUGAGAAUCUGGCUAUAGGUUCGGGACAACAUUGGGAAACUGAUGCUAAUACCGGAUGUGCCGAGAGGUGAAAGCUUAAUGUGCCUAUAGAUGAGCUCGCGUCCGAUUAGCUAGUAGGUGAGGUAAAAGCUCACCUAGGCCAUGAUCGGUAGCUGGUCUGAGAGGAUGGCCAGCCACACUGGGACUGAGACACGGCCCAGACUCCUACGGGAGGCAGCAGUGGGGAAUUUUCCGCAAUGGGCGAAAGCCUGACGGAGCAAUACCGCGUGAGGGAGGAAGGCUUUUGGGUCGUAAACCUCUUUUCUCUGGGAAGAAGUUCUGACGGUACCAGAGGAAUCAGCAUCGGCUAACUCCGUGCCAGCAGCCGCGGUAAUACGGAGGAUGCAAGCGUUAUCCGGAAUUAUUGGGCGUAAAGCGUCCGCAGGUGGUUAUUCAAGUCUGCUGUUAAAGCGUGGAGCUUAACUCCAUAUCGGCGGUGGAAACUGAUGAACUAGAGGGUGGUAGGGGUCACGGGAAUUCCCAGUGUAGCGGUGAAAUGCGUAGAUAUUGGGAAGAACACCAGCGGCGAAAGCGCGUGACUGGGCCAUUACUGACACUCAUGGACGAAAGCUAGGGGAGCGAAAGGGAUUAGAUACCCCUGUAGUCCUAGCCGUAAACGAUGGACACUAGGUGUUGCCCGUAUCGACCCGGGCAGUGCCGUAGCUAACGCGUUAAGUGUCCCGCCUGGGGAGUACGCACGCAAGUGUGAAACUCAAGGAAUUGA